GUCAACGGCCACACCACCCUGAACGUGCCCAAUCUUGUUUGAUCUCGGAAGCUAAGGAGGGUUGGGCGUGGUUGGUACUUGGAUGGGAGACUGCCUGGGAAUAUUGGGUGCUGUAGGCA
rnacentral:rRNA from 1 species